GAUGAACGCUGGCGGCGUGCCUAAUACAUGCAAGUCGAGCGAACGGACGAGAAGCUUGCUUCUCUGCUGUUAGCGGCUGACGGGUGAGUAACACGUGGAUAACCUACCUCUUAGACUGGGAUAACUUCGUGAAACCGUAUCUAAUACCGGAUAAUAUUUUGAACCGCAUGGUUCAAAAGUGAAAGACGGUCUUGCUGUCACUUAUAGAUGGAUCCGCGCUGCAUUAGCUAGUUGGUAAGGUAACGGCUUACCAAGGCAACGAUGCAUAGCCGACCUGAGAGGGUGAUCGGCCACACUGGAACUGAGACACGGUCCAGACUCCUACGGGAGGCAGCAGUAGGGAAUCUUGCGCAAUGGGCGAAAGCCUGACGGAGCAACGCCGCGUGAGUGAAGAAGGUCUUCGGAUCGUAAAACUCUGUUAUUAGGGAAGAAAAGAUGUGUAAGUAACUGUGCACAUCUUGACGGUACCUAAUCAGAAAGCCACGGCUAACUACGUG
rnacentral:rRNA from 1 species